UGGAACCAGUUUUGGAUAAAGCAACAAUUAUAAGACCAUCCUAUAUUGCUAGUAUUGAGCUAUCUCCAAGAAAUGGGCCAGUAAAUGUUGAGGACCUUAAAGCAGACCUCUCAGAUGAAUUUUCCCUGGUUUCUUCAAACUUGGAUAUAAGCCAGAGGAACAGUUUGGAUUCCAAGGAACAUAUACAAGUUUGCCUUCGUAUUAGGCCUUUCACAGCAAGUGAAAAAGAAAAUGAAUCUCAGGACUGUGUUUCUAUUCAAGACUCAACUAGCAU